ACAUAGAUACAUACUUAUGUACAUACAUAAAUAUCAAAUUAAAUACACAACCGAAAGAGCUACCAAUAGUUUCAUACUUUUAUGAUAUUUGAACAGGCGUAACUAUAAAAUACGCCAUGUAUUUUAAAGCAAUCUUU